UUUUUUGGUGAUUUUUGAGAAAUUUUUUUAUAAAUCUUUCUGUUCCCAAAAUUACCUGUUCAACCUAGAAUCAAUCUUAUUUGUUUGAUCGGAAAAUCAAUUAUGAGAGGAAAAUGGGAAGUAGUACGAAUUUGGGUGUUGUAUUUACUGCUUCUAUCUGAGUUCUUUCAGGGAUGUUUUUCUGCUUUUAACCUGCCUCGUCCACCAUGGAAGAAACAGUCAAAUUUUGGUUCCUCUGUUGUUUUUCCACUUUUUGGGAAUGUGUAUCCAAAAGGGUAUUAUCAGGUGACACUCAAUGUAGGCCAACCCCCCAAACCUUACUUUCUUGACAUUGACACAGGGAGUGAUCUCACUUGGCUCCAAUGUGACGCACCUUGUGUCAAAUGUAUUCCAGCACCUCACAGUCCGUACAAACCGAAUAAAAAUGUUAUCAAGCAUAAGGAUCCCAUUUGUGCAUCCCUUCACUCACCUGCAAACCAUCCCCGUUACAGUCCUGACGAUCAAUGUGACUAUGAGGUUGAGUAUGCG
rnacentral:misc_RNA from 1 species